ACGCUCGACACCUACGGGAGGCAGCAGGUGGGGAAUAUUGCGCAAGUGGGGGCCAACCCUGACGCAGCAACGCCGCGUGAUUGAAAGAAGGCCCGUUGGUUGGUAAAGAUUCUUUAAUCGAGGAACGAAAAUAGACGUACCUGAAGAAUAAGCUCCGGCUAACUACGUGCUAGCACGCGCGUAUCUGAGCGGCGNGCGAGC
rnacentral:rRNA from 1 species